AGCUCAAGAACGCGAAGGAGUUAGAUUUUUGUUAAAUUCACAGUUGUGUUCAAGUCAUCUAGUCCUCAAUAUAAGUUCAAUCUAAGGUUAUACAAGAGAUCAAUCAAGUUUCACUUAAUAGCUAACGGUGAUCAUAAGGUGAGACAAGUGGAGCCCGAAAAGAUCCAGGGAAGGGUAUAGCUUAGCACUAGCGGUGUUGCUCGUUGGAUGGGUAACGAGUAUCUCUUAUGCCUUUCUUUGAUACUAGUUACGCCCUUUUUGUGCA